rnacentral:tRNA from 1 species
GAUUGUAGCUCAGUGGUAGAGCAUGUGCUUAGUACACAUGUGGCACUGGGUUCAAUAAUCAGCAACA